ensembl:lincRNA
GAUGAAGAGGAGGAGGGGAGGCAAGCGAGGAGGAGGACGAGGAGGAAGGCUCGGAGGCGGUGGCGGCCGAUGACAGGUGCCUCGCGGUGGCGGCCCUCGGCAGACGUGAUUGCCGCGGUGACUGCGCGCCGGAGCGUGACUUUACAACUAAUCCUGUUUGACAGGGGUCAUGUGAUUAGCGACAGAUUCGAAUCCACUGUCUCCCACAAUCACAGAAAUCCUGGGGUGGACAAGCGGAAGAUGCGCGUGUGCCUGUGUGGAUUUGUGUUGAAGUUGUUGCUACGUCCCUGUUUUCUCCUCCUUUUCAUCUACCCCUGCUGCAGCCAAGCCCAGGAUAUAGAGAGAGGACAGUGCCUCGAGGGUUCCUGAGAUGGGAAGAGGCCAGGCAUUUGACAGCUUUGGCAUCUCUGUCCUCCCACCCACUGGGGCCCCUACCCAGCACAUGUGCUCCCUGGACCCAGAGCCUGAUCUCCCCCAGCUUGUGUAGAUGGGGAAACAGCAGCCAGAGAAUGGGCCACCCUCACACUCCACCCCUUCAGCAUGGUCUCUUCCCUACAGGGGCCUGAGCCCCUCACCUACCCACCCUCCAUCACAUGGAUGCGUACACACAUCAUCUGAUAUAUUGAUUUUUCCCUAGAUGUUAAUAGUAGAUUGUAAUUUCCCGCUAGGAAGUUUGCUCCUAAGUCUCUCCAGCCACUGUCCUGCCUUCCUUUGUAAAUAAUGACCCCAGUUCUAGACCCUUUCUACCAUCUCCCUGCAGCUCUCCAUCCAUCAGUGUGGUACCACCAAUACAGCUAUGCCUUCCGGAUGAGGGCUUCUGGGAGGGAGGAAGGACUAGGGUCCUGAUGGCGCACCCCAGAGAACCACCCCCAGGUCCUGGCCAUGAACCCCAUGAUUUGCUAGAUCUUGCUGGUGUCAUCUCCACUCCCUUCCCAGAGCUCAGGGACUCAGGAGAGCCAAGGAGCAAGUAAGGAAUGAGACUAUCCAGGAACAAACCAAGUCGGGAUUGCAUUUGAAGUGGAGUCCAGAUGGGGAUGGGGAGGGAAGGAAGUUCAGAAGGGCCUCCUGGGAACCCUUUGAGUCUGUGAAUAUCUUUCCUUAGGGAGGUCUGGCCAUACUGCCCCUUGGACCAUCCAUAAGGUAUGGCUACUACACUGACAAUCUCUAGAGGGCAGUGACCCUCCAUGAGGCUCCUGGUGACACUGACCAACAGUGAGAACACUCUGCUACAUGGGAUACACUGACCAGCUAGCUGACAUUGAACUAUCUAAAAAGGACUCACAACAUUGACCUUAUGGGGAUCCUUGACCUCCUUGAUCUCCUCCAAGGAGACACCAACUAUCUAGGCUAUCUCCCAUGGAGACACUAUUCGUAGAACAUGCCCCCUUUCUCCUGCCAGAAACAGCACUUGCUUCAAAUACUGACAGUCUCCCACAAUGCCUGUGUCUACCACAUGGAAGGGAUGUAUGGUAGAAGGUGGGAGGUGGGGGAUGAGAGGAAGCAGAGAGCCUCAGUGGUCAGGGACCUUCUGGAGGUGGUGAUGCAGCUCCCUGCUGUGUGCCUGGUCCUCUGUGCUCACAGUUAGGCCAUGGAAGGGCAAGAGACAGGGAGGAAAUGGCCAACCUUUGAGAAGUUCAUAGUUCAGCUCUCUAGCUGAAAUUGUCAUUAAGAGUAAUAUUUAUGUCAGGCGCAGUGGCUCACGCCUGUAAUCCUAGCACUUUGGGAAGCCAAGGCGGGUGGAUCACCUGAGAUCAGGAGUUCAAGACAAGCCUGGUUAGCAUGGUGGAACCCCGUCUCUACUAAAAAUACAAAAAUUAGCCAGACAUGGUGGCAGGUGCCUGUAAUCCCAGCUACUCAGGAAGCUGAGGCAGGAGAAUCACUUGAACCUGGAUAGUGAAGGUUGCAGUGAGCUGAGAUCGCACCACUGUGUUAUAGCCUAGGCAACAGAGCGAGACUCCACUUAAAAAAGUAAUAUUUAUCUCUACUUUACAUUUUGCCAUAUUCAAAGGGAUUUGAGGGGAUUAGGAAAUGCACGCACACGUGUACACACAUACAUACACUUCACUCAAACAGUGAAAGAAGAAGAGAGGGACGUUUGGAAACCAUUUAAAGGCAGGAGGGAGAUAAAUGGACUGGAGAUCUGGUGGGAGAGAAUGUGUACAGUUGAUGUGGCCCCUGCAGGCUGGGGCCAUGCUGCAACUGGCCCACCUCUCGGAGAGCUCACGCACCGUGGGUUCAGGUAGUUAGGGAAGGCUUUCUGGAGGAGAUGGAACAAGUCUGGGGACUUAAGAGAUGGCAGAAGUCCUAAACAGGAAAAAAACAGCAGGAACAGCAUUCUAGCGGCAGGACCAGAGUAAACCAAGUCAGAGAAAUGAAUGGAAGGUGAACACAUGGCCAGUGCCCGGUCAGGAAGGGGCUGGCAAUGGAUUGGUGAGUUUGGGUUAGGGUGAGCAGGGGGGAGAGAUACAAUAUAUUCAGGGGACAGUGAAGAGGUGAGAGAGAAAUUGAAGGCCACUGAUGGAAAGGCUAGGGGUGGUUGAUGUGCUGAGAGCAUUUAGGAGGUACAUCAGACUAGCUUGGCCCCACCCCAAUAUUUCCUAAUUCUAAUUCAGGCCCUUCAGCACCCCUUUGUUGCAGCACCCUCACCCUCCAUGAGCUCAAAUUCAGCAUCCCAGCAAAGACAGAACUCACCACGGGAGAGGAACUACACAAAACAGGGGCCCCUGGAGGAGGAGGCACCCCUAUGAGGGUGGGGGCCAAGCUCCCCUCCCCCCAGGGUACCCUGGUGGGGCCUGCAGCGGGAGAGAAUGUGGUGUGAAGGCAGAGGCUCUCCUGCCGCACCAUGACAGAUGAUUGACUCGAAACAAUAUCUAAGGCGAUCAGGAUAAAGUGCUGGCCAUUUCAAGGCUCAGCAGAAUUCAGAUUCUAAUUAGACUUCUCACCACAUUCCAAAUAAAAAUGGUUCCCCUGGUAUCCUCUUUGCCUAUCAGGUGUCUCUCCCUGAUCGCUGGAACAAAACGCAUAAAGAAAGUGAUUAAAGCCAUAACAAAGGCAUAAAAUUGGAAUUAUCGCUGCCACCACAUCUGGGAGCACAGAGUGUCACCACACCACCCCCUCCUCCCCAAACCCACACACACACAGAAGUGCUGUCCCAUCGCAGCUCCCGGCUGGGCACCCUGCAAUGUGAGCCAUCAGAUGGGUGAGGAGAUGGAGGCCUGGGGGCUCCGGGGUGGGUGCUUGGGAUGGAACUAGGGGGUCUAAGGAGUCAGGGAUUGAGAUCAGGAGGUGAGUGAUGUGGGUAAAAACGAGGGGCUCCAGGCCUGAUGAACAAGGGAGUGAGUGGACAAAGGAGUGGGGGGUAGGACAGGAUAAUGGUCACCGUCUCUGGUGUCUAGAGAUUUACUAGUGGGGAGGGGCCUUGGGGCUCUUGCCUUGAUGACCUCGCCACUCCCAGGACGUGCGCACGUAAACACACACACACACACACAAAGGCUCAUGGCAUGCUAUAAAUAUUCCCAAGCAUUCCACAUGGUGCCUAUCUCUGUUGCCAAUGCCAACAGACCAAAAGUCCCCCAA